UCAGAGUAUCAGGCUCCUUCUUGCUGUG
rnacentral:piRNA from 2 species